UGGUCUAAAAUGUUCUAAUUUGGUACAAUGGUACUACAGGCCAACAGGAACCCACAAACCAAGAAUGGCCGACAUUCGCCACUAGGGGGCGCUAAAGGCCACGCCAAAAUUCCCGUUUUCUGGUCAAAAAUGUUCUAAUUUGGUACAUUGAUACUACAGGCCAACAGGAACCCACAAACCAAGAAUGGCCAACAUUCACCCCUAGGGGGCGCUACAGGCCAUGCCGAAAUUCCCAUUUUCUGGUCUAAAAUGUUCUAAUUUGGUACAAUGGUACUACAGGCCAACAGGAACCCACAAACCAAGAAUGGCCAACAUUCGCCAUUAGGGGGCGCUACAGGUAAUUCCCAAAAGUCCCAUUUUCUGGUCAAACAUUUUCUAAUUUGGUACAUUGAUUCUACAGGCCAAAAGGAACCCACAAACCAAGAAUGGCCCACAUUCGCCCCUAGGGGGCGCUACAGGUAAUUCCCAAAAGUCCCAUUUUCUGGUCAAACAUUUUCUAAUUUGGUACAUUGAUUCUACAGGCCAAAAGGAACCCACAAACCAAGAAUGGCCCACAUUCGCCCCUAGGGGGCGCUACAGGCCACUCCAAAAUUCCCAUUUUCUGGUCAAAUAUUUUCUAAUUUUGUACAUUGAUACUACAGGCCAACAGGAACCCACAAACCAAGAAUGGCCCACAUUCGACCAUAGGUGGUGCUACAGGCCACGCCCCAAAAAAAUAUUUUCAAAGUGAUACCAUUUCCACGCCAUUUGUCCAAUUCUUCUGAAACUUGGUGUACAUGCCUCAUUUCUCAUUGGGAACAAAAAAGCCUCAAGGAUCCAUAAGGUCCGGUAUGGAUUUUCCUGUACAUUGAAAAUGUUUCGUUUAGGAUUCAGACAAAGACAUGUUUUUUGAAUUCCUUAAUUGGGAGGGUUUAUCCCCAACCAUCUACUGAUCAAUUUUAAAUGAUUUGCCAUUUUGAGGAGGAAUCCGCAUUGCUGCUUGCAGCUAUAUUUAUUAUUAUUAUUAUUAUUAUUCUUCUCCUUGAGCCCCAAUAGCUCAAAAAGUCACUGGUCAAAAAUUUUCUAAAUUGGCACAUUGAUACUCCAUGCCAACGGGUACCCCCAAACCAAGAAUGGCCCACAUUCGCCCAUAGGUGGCGCUACAGGCCACGCCCAAAAAAACAAAAUUCAAAGUGAUACAAUUUCCACGCCAUUUGUCCAAAUCUUCUGAAAUUUGGUGUACAUGCCUCA